AUUGAACGCUGGCGGCAUGCCUUACACAUGCAAGUCGAACGGUAACAGGGAGCUUGCUCCGCUGACGAGUGGCGAACGGGUGAGUAAUACAUCGGAACGUGCCCAGUAAUGGGGGAUAGCUCGGCGAAAGCCGGAUUAAUACCGCAUACGCCCUGAGGGGGAAAGUGGGGGACCGCAAGGCCUCACGUUAUUGGAGCGGCCGAUGGCUGAUUAGCUAGUUGGUAGGGUAAAGGCCUACCAAGGCGACGAUCAGUAGCUGGUCUGAGAGGACGAUCAGCCACACUGGGACUGAGACACGGCCCAGACUCCUACGGGAGGCAGCAGUGGGGAAUUUUGGACAAUGGGGGAAACCCUGAUCCAGCAAUGCCGCGUGUGCGAAGAAGGCCUUCGGGUUGUAAAGCACUUUUGUCAGGGAAGAAAUCCUUUGGGCUAAUACCCUAGGGGGAUGACGGUACCUGAAGAAUAAGCACCGGCUAACUACGUGC
rnacentral:rRNA from 1 species